rnacentral:rRNA from 1 species
AGCAGUAGCCGCGGGAAAACGUAGGUGGCAAGCGUUGUCCGGAAUUAUUAGGCGUAAAGCGCGCGCAGGCGGAUCAGUUAGUCUGUCUUAAAAGUUCGGGGCUUAACCCCGUGAUGGGAUGGAAACUGCUGAUCUAGAGUAUCGGAGAGGAAAGUGGAAUUCCUAGUGUAGCGGUGAAAUGCGUAGAUAUUAGGAAGAACACCAGUGGCGAAGGCGACUUUCUGGACGAGACCUGACGCUGAGGCGCGAAAGCCAGGGGAGCGAACGGGAUUAGAUACCCCUGUAGUCCCUGUCUCUUAUACA